rnacentral:lncRNA from 1 species
AUUUUUUUGGUGCAACAGUUUUUUUAUUUUGUCUAACCAUGAGAUAUCCAUUUGAGAAUCUUACCUUUCGGCCUAUGUUGUUUUUCACACACACUGUUUCUAUGUUAGGCGGGCAAUGGAAAAACUUUCAGGUAUCCUCGUUGGAUCUGUAAACAUUCGUGAGUCAUGUUCUUCCUUUUCUAUCAUAUUAAACUGAUUUCAUAUCUGAAUCUAAUGGCAGGUGGUUCUCAGUAUUAAGGAAGUCAGCUGAACGUCUUUGUCUGACAGAGAGUGGAAGCUUGUCAUGCAGAGGUGAACAGAGAAUAUCAGCUCACUCUUCUGUUUUAUUUUCUAGCUCUCAGUGUCAGAAAGGCUCAGAUUAUUGAGUCUCCUUAGAGUACACUUAGUUUAAUAUUCUGCUUUAAUAUUCUGACAUGUUACCCAACUCUCACUUCCUCUUCAAUGGCAACCAAAGCACGUAGGCUUUAUGUAGUCACAGGGCACUGAUAAUGCAGAUAUUAGCUGCUCUCCGUAGCAGAGCUUUACUUCGGUAUUAUGAAGACUUUAUUACUAGUCAUUCUGGGGGGAAAGGCCUGAUGAAGACUGUCGAGUCAAAAGAAGAAGGCAUCUUGUUAGUCUCCAUUGCACAUGAUUUUUUUGACCUCAUUUUUAGUGUUCGUGCUCACUAACAUGUGUUUUGCUCGCUGCUCUUAAACAAAAGGCUCACAAAAAUGUUGACCCUAUUUUUACUUUUUUUCAGUCUCAUGAUCGUGGGUAAUGCAACACUGGUGUAUGUUAACACCACUAUCACCGACUCAGCAGUCCUCGAAUGUAGUAUACAAAAUAAAAAUAUCACGGACUGGAGUAAUGUUCGUUUUUAUUGGCAAGAUAACAGGGAUUUUGUGUUGUAUUCCUAUAAUGAAGGAAAAAAGAUGGCUGAGCAUGUAAAUGACUACUAUAAACACAGAGUCACAGCCUUCCCUCAGGACAUAAUUAGAGGAAAUAUCAGCAUCAUACUCAAAAACCUGACCCUUGAAGAUAACGGAAGGACUUUCUGGGCUUUUGCGGCAGUCUUGGACGGCAGCGUGAUGAAGAGAUACCACCUGGAACACACACAGAUCUGCCAAGUAACUUUACAGAUAGGUGUUCCUUACCAGAAUCCCAUGCUAGAUGUUAAUAUGGAAACAAUGACUGCAGUGUGCACUACCCAAGGAGGAUUUCCUGCCCCUGAGAUACAAUGGGUCCUCCUCAAUAACAGCUCUCAUCAAUCAGUAGAGUCGAGGAACAUCCAGACUACAACGAUGCAGAAUUAUCACGAUCGCCUUUACAGCUUCCACAGCACUCUACCAAUCCCUGCAGGUCCUCACAAGGCUGUGAGGUGUCAUAUCCACAACCCGACUUUGAACAGGACAAUGACGGCCACCCAUACCUUAAACAAAGGUAUGUUUGGCGCCAUACAGUGGACUGAGAGAAGUUAA